rnacentral:rRNA from 1 species
UACGAAGGGGGCUAGCGUUGUUCGGAAUCACUGGGCGUAAAGGGCGCGUAGGCGGCGCGACAAGUCAGGCGUGAAAGCCCCGGGCUCAACCCGGGAAUUGCGCUUGAUACUGUCGUGCUUGAGGCCGGGAGAGGAUGGCGGAAUUCCCAGUGUAGAGGUGAAAUUCGUAGAUAUUGGGAAGAACACCGGUGGCGUAGGCGGCCAUCUGGACCGGUUCUGACGCUCAGGCGCGAUAGCGUGGGGAUCAAACAGG